AUUAAAAGAGUAAAAAGAGUGCAUAAAGGAAAGGAGGAAGACAAGUGGCCUUGUUAAGGGUAUUAUUGUAAAUUGCAUAAAAAUUGGAUAAACUUUAACUAUAAAUAUCUAAUCUCCAGCAGCUUUUCUUGAGUUUUUCAGCAGCUUAUCUUCUUCUUCUUCCUCCUAUCCUCUUCUCCAUUCCAUGUUUCUUUGCACUUUUCAUGGAAGUAUCCUUUGAAACCUUUAAAACUUCCCCAAAUUAGCUUUGUUUCUCAUGCCUUUCUACACCCUUUCAUAAGGUUUUUCAUGCUCUUCCACUUUUACACCUCAACAGCCUUCAAAAGUCUUUCUUAAGUACAUUCAUUCACUAAUUGGACAUGCAAAGAGAGAACGAGUGAUUUCCCUUAUUAGCUUGGAAGAAUUUUGAAAAGAAAUUCAAUUACAAAUCCACCCAGGUGAGUGAACUUACAUUUAAAAUAUUUUGGGAAAUGUAUUGGUAUUUGGAUGAAGCAUGAGAAUGAAUUUUUAUUUGAUUUUUCCUUAAAGAUUAUGCAUGGGAACAAGCCUUUAUUAAAACGUUUUAUGUGGUGAGUGUGCAAUAGGAUGAGUCUUUGUGCUCCUAUAGGAUGCUGAUAUAUAUAUAUAUAUGUUAUAUAUCGAUAGUUAAUAUUGUGUAAUAAACAUAACUGUGUGUGUGCGCAAUGUGGGAGAUGCACACACCGGUGAUGACGGGUGCGAGAGUGUGGAUGAUGAUAUUACUUGUGCACGAUGUGGGGGAUGCACACGGCGGUAUUAGCUAUGCACGAUGUGGGCGAUGCACACGAUGACUACAACUAUGUGCAUGAUGUGGGGGUUGC
rnacentral:lncRNA from 1 species